UACAGAGGUCUCAAGCGUUGUUCGGAUUCAUUGGGCGUAAAGGGUGCGUAGGUGGCGCUGUAAGUCAGGUGUGAAAUUUCGGAGCUUAACUCCGAAACUGCAUUUGAUACUGCGGUGCUUGAGGACUGGAGAGGAGACUGGAAUUCACGGUGUAGCAGUGAAAUGCGUAGAGAUCGUGAGGAAGACCAGUGGCGAAGGCGGGUCUCUGGGCAUGAUCUGACGCUGAGGAGCGAAAGUGUGGGGAGCGAACAGG
rnacentral:rRNA from 1 species